rnacentral:rRNA from 1 species
UACGGAGGGUGCAAACGUUGCUCGGAAUCAUUGGGCGUAAAGCGCACGUAGGCGGUCCAGCAAGUCGGGUGUGAAAGCCCUCGGCUUAACCGAGGAAGUGCAUUCGAAACUACUGGACUUGAAUACUGGAGAGGAUCGCGGAAUUCCCGGUGUAGAGGUGAAAUUCGUAGAUAUCGGGAGGAACACCAGUGGCGAAGGCGGCGAUCUGGACAGAUAUUGACGCUGAGGUGACGAAAGCGUGGGGAGCAAACAGG